rnacentral:rRNA from 1 species
GAUGAACGCUGGCGGCGUGCCUAACACAUGCAAGUCGAACGGAAAGGCCAUGCUCUUGUGGGUUGCUCGUGUGGCGAACGCGUGAGUAACACGUGAGUAACCUGCCCCUGACUGUGGGAUAACAUUAGGAAACUGGGGCGCAUACCCCAUAUAAUAUCUUGCUGCAUGGUGGGGGAUGGAAAGUUUCGGCGGUGGGGGAUGGACUGGCGGGUUAUCGGCUUGUUGGUGGGGUAGUGGCUUACCAAGCCUAUGACGGGUAGCCGGCAUGAGAGGGUGAACGGGGACAAUGGGACUGAGAGACGGCCCAGAAUGCUACGGGAGGCAGUGGGGGGGAGUAUUGCACAAUGGGCGGAAGCCUGAUGCAGCGGCGCUGCGUGCGGGAUAACGGCCUUCGGGUUGUAAACCGCUUUCGCCUGUGACAAGGCGGGAGUGACGGUAAUGAGUAAAAAAGCACCGGCUAACUACGUG